rnacentral:lncRNA from 1 species
CAGGCUCUGACAUUCUGCCACCAACACACAGGAAGCAAACAGGUUUUUUUCUACUGGUGUUGGUGUACUUUGUGCUCAGAGAAUAGAAUAUCCCAGGGGAGUGUCAAACCAUGAGAAAAGGAAAAUGCGUAGAGCAGCUUCUGAAGAUCAGCAGGCCUGUGCAGCAUCAUCUGAGGGUCCCCAGAAUUAAAGCAACAUGAAACUCUUCAUACUGAGCGUGGCCACUUCCCACUGACCAUGACUCACAAAUGGUGAGGCCACCUGACAGCGUUGAAGAUAAUUACUAUUCAUC